UCUAAGUUUGAUGGCGACCGGCGCACGGUGAGUAACACGUAUCCAACCUGCCGAUGACUCGGGGAUAGCCUUUCGAAAGAAAGAUUAAUACCCGAUGGCAUAGUUCUUCCGCAUGGUAGAACUAUUAAAGAAUUUCGGUCAUCGAUGGGGAUGCGUUCCAUUAGGUUGUUGGCGGGGUAACGGCCCACCAAGCCUUCGAUGGAUAGGGGUUCUGAGAGGAAGGUCCCCCACAUUGGAACUGAGACACGGUCCAAACUCCUACGGGAGGCAGCAUG
rnacentral:rRNA from 1 species